CCCAGACUCCUACGGGAGGCAGCAGUGGGGAAUAUUGCACAAUGGGGGAAACCCUGAUGCAGCGACGCCGCGUGAGUGAAGAAGUAUUUCGGUAUGUAAAGCUCUAUCAGCAGGGAAGAAAAUGACGGUACCUGACUAAGAAGCCCCGGCUAACUACGUGCCAGCAGCCGCGGUAAUACGUAGGGGGCAAGCGUUAUCCGGAUUCACUGGGUGUAAAGGAAGCGUAGACGGCGACGCAAGUCUGGAGUGAAAGCCCGGGGCCCAACCCCGGGACUGCUCUGGAAACUGCGGCGCUGGAGUAUGGGAGGGGCAGGCGGAAUUCCUGGUGUAGCGGUGAAAUGCGUAGAUAUCAGGAGGAACACCGGCGGCGAAGGCGGCCUGCUGGACCGUGACUGACGUUGAGGCUCGAGAGCGUGGGGAGCAAACAGGAUUAGAUACCCUCGUAU
rnacentral:rRNA from 1 species